rnacentral:ncRNA from 1 species
AUAAAGUUUUAUUCUAGCUUAAGUAUUAAAUUAAUUUUUUUAUUUAUAUGAAAAUUUUAGUGUGGGGUUAUUAUAAUUUAAAUAAUUAUAAUAAUAACUUAUUUAAUCUCAGUAAAUAAUUUUAAAUAUUAAAGUAAUUUAGAUUUAGAUAUAAAUUUUAAUAUUAACUAAAUUUGUGCCAGCAGUUGCGGUUAUACAAAUAAUGUAAUUUAAUAGAAUAAGUAAUAAUUAAUUUAAAUAUAAAAUAAUUUUAAUUUUAAAUUUAUUAGGUGAAAUUUUAAAUUUAAUAUAUAAUUUAAAUAAUAAUUAAUGAGGUUAAGAAAUUUAUGAAAUAAACUAGGAUUAGAUACCCUAUUAUUGUAAAUGUUAAUGUUUUACUAAGUUAUUAAUAGUUAUGUUCUUUAAAAUUAAAGAUUUUGGCGGUAUUUUAGUCUAUUCAGAGGAACUUGUUCUAUAAUUGAUAAUCCACGAUUAUAUUUACCAAAGUUUUUAAUUUGUAUAUCGUCGUAGUUUGAAUAUUUUAUUAGAAAUUAAAUGUUCAAAAUUUUUUAUAAGAAAAAAAAUCAGAUCAAGGUGCAGUUUAUAUUUUGGUAGAAAUGAGUUACAAUAAAAUUAUUUUUGGAUAAUUAAAUUAAUAUUUAAUUUGAAAUUGGAUUUGAUAGUAAUUUUAUUUAUAUAAUUAAAAUGAUUUUAGCUCUAAAAUAUGCACAUAUCGCCCGUCGCUUUCAUUAUAAAGUGAAAUAAGUCGUAACAAAGUAGUCUUACUGGAAAGUGAGGCUAGAAAGCA